UGUACAUUGCUGUCCUAAGAAGAGAAAAUAGGAAGUGGAUAAUGUUUACUGGCAAGAAAUCUUAAAAAAAGAAGAGCAGAAAUGAAGGUAUAGGAACAGGUUCAUAUACACAGUAUCUUUACUCUUUCCUGCUCAGGAAAUCAGGCCUAGUAAUGAACUUUGAUUGUUCCAUUCAAUUUCAGCUAGUAGCUGUAAUGAAUCAAGUUACUCUAUAACCUCAUUAAUACUAAAUACCUCUCUUUCUAGCCUUUGGUUUCCUAAAUAACUAUCCAUCCACAUCUUGGUUAAGGACUGUUCCUAGUGCCUUUAGUAAUCAAUGGAUGGUAG
rnacentral:lncRNA from 1 species